UACGUAGGGUGCGAGCGUUAAUCGGAAUUACUGGGCGUAAAGCGUGCGCAGGCGGCUUUGCAAGACAGAUGUGAAAUCCCCGGGCUCAACCUGGGAACUGCAUUUGUGACUGCAUGGCUAGAGUACGGUAGAGGGGGAUGGAAUUCCGCGUGUAGCAGUGAAAUGCGUAGAUAUGCGGAGGAACACCGAUGGCGAAGGCAAUCCCCUGGACCUGUACUGACGCUCAUGCACGAAAGCGUGGGGAGCAAACAGGAUUAGAUACCCUGGUAGUCCACGCCCUAAACGAUGUCAACUGGUUGUUGGACGGCUUGCUGUUCAGUAACGAAGCUAACGCGUGAAGUUGACCGCCUGGGGAGUACGGCCGCAAGGUUG
rnacentral:rRNA from 1 species